AUUGAACGCUGGCGGCAGGCCUAACACAUGCAAGUCGAGCGGAUGAAGGGAGCUUGCUCCUGGAUUCAGCGGCGGACGGGUGAGUAAUGCCUAGGAAUCUGCCUGGUAGUGGGGGAUAACGUCCGGAAACGGGCGCUAAUACCGCAUACGUCCUGCGGGAGAAAGUGGGGGAUCUUCGGACCUCACGCUAUCAGAUGAGCCUAGGUCGGAUUAGCUAGUUGGUGGGGUAAAGGCCUACCAAGGCGACGAUCCGUAACUGGUCUGAGAGGAUGAUCAGUCACACUGGAACUGAGAGACGGUACAGACUCCUACGGGAGGCAGCAGUGGGGAAGAGUGGAAGAUGGGGGAAAGACUGAUCCAGCCAUGGCGCGUGUGUGAAGAAGGGCUUCGGAUUGUAAAGCACUUUAAGGUGGGAGGAAGGGCAGUAAGUUAAUACCUUGCUGUUUUGACGUUACCAACAGAAUAAGCACCGGCUAACUUCGU
rnacentral:rRNA from 1 species